CUUAUAAAAAGUACCUUUUACACAAACUGAGGAUCUUUCUUCUUUUGCUAUGGCAAUUUAGUACAUCAGCAUCCAAGUUAACAGGCUUUCAUUCUAGAGAGGUCCUGCCACAUAUCUCGGAGGAAGAAAUGCUACACAGAGAAACCAAGAAGAAUGUGAACAGACAGGUCUUGCUGAAUCUGCCUCCCCCUCAGUCUAUUACCCUUAGAGCAUACCCCCUUGUCCAGUCACAUUUCUACAUGGCUAUCUGUACUUCAUUAAAUUAUCAAAUCAGAAACUUUAGCAUAAAAAGUUUUCCCUGGGUUUUGUGGUUUUCAUUUCUGAAGUCUCUCGUGUCACAUAAAACUUGAAUUAAAUAAAUUUGUAUGCUUUGUUAAUCUGCCUUUUAAUAUAGGCGUGUCAGCUGUGCCACUUAUGGCACCCACUUAUGGUGGGUGAAGAAAGGGAUCACACCUUUCGUCCCCUACAAUAUUAAUGGGAAUAAUAAUAACAACUUGUAAUGAUCUCACAC
rnacentral:lncRNA from 10 species